rnacentral:misc_RNA from 1 species
UUAACUAUUAUAUAGUACUCAGACAGUAUAGACAAACAGAGUUUAGGUCCUCUGGCAAGCGCUCGCCGGCCGGAGCCAGCAGCCCGAGGGCAGGCCUGCCAAAGCAACAAAGUGUAAUAAACAAAGGGUGGGAGAUCUACCCGUAAGGGCAUGAACUCGGUAAUGAUCCCUCCGCAGGUUCACCUACGGAGA